GACGAACGCUGGCGGCGUGCUUAACACAUGCAAGUCGAACGGAAAGGCCCUGCUUUUGUGGGGUGCUCGAGUGGCGAACGGGUGAGUAACACGUGAGUAACCUGCCCUUGACUUUGGGAUAACUUCAGGAAACUGGGGCUAAUACCGGAUAGGAGCUCCUGCUGCAUGGUGGGGGUUGGAAAGUUUCGGAGGUUGGGGAUGGACUCGCGGCUUAUCAGCUUGUUGGUGGGGUAGUGGCUUACCAAGGCUUUGACGGGUAGCCGGCCUGAGAGGGUGACCGGCCACAUUGGGACUGAGAUACGGCCCAGACUCCUACGGGAGGCAGCAGUGGAGAAUAUUGCACAAUGGGCGGAAGCCUGAUGCAGCAACGCCGCGUGCGGGAUGACGGCCUUCGGGUUGUAAACCGCUUUCGCCUGUGACGAAGCGUGAGUGACGGUAAUGGGUAAAGAAGCACCGGCUAACUACGUG
rnacentral:rRNA from 1 species